AAGGGCCGAGGAAAUCGUUGUAGCGGCGUUAAGAACGAACGAGAACGAGCGAGAGAGAAAGAGAAGAGUUUCGACGGAAAUAUGAAGAGAGGAUAUUCCGAGCAGGUUCCGAGUCGUGCGCUUGAAAUUCGUUCAUUUCGUUCCGGAAAAGUAGGAGAAAGUACGAGGAGCACUCGAAAGUCGCGAAACUCGAGGGAAGCGCGAACGCGCGAGAGAGGCACCCACGUUGUUUCCAACUUCUAUUCGAGAGAGAAAAGAGAAGCUCUGCAUCAUUAAUCACGAAGAUAACGAGCUUUAAGGAUCGGACGUUACAUACAAUUAGUUUCUUAGCCUUGGCUUAAGUCGUAAUUAGUCUUGGAAAAUGAAGAAGAACACCAAGGAGCUUCCUCCGGCAGGCUAUCGUUUGCGAAGCGAGUAAGAACGAUAAGAGGAGCAUCUUUUCUCGGGGUAGUUUCGUUAAAGGUUAAAAGAGGAUUCGGUCUUCCCCGUGGAAAGAAGAGUCGAUCAGGGAUCGGACGUUACCUGCGAAACAACGGCGGCUCGCGCACGAGCAGAUGAAAGUCGUUCUCGGAGCACACCUCGCGGUCCCGAUGGUGGACCGCGCAUUUGAAGCUCCUCGUCCGUUUGCCGCUCAUCUGGAAGCAAACAAAAAAGAAACAAAAACGUGUAGAAUAAGAAAAUGUAGUCCGAGUUUGGAGGAAUCUCACAAUGAAAGCAGCGUUCGAGAAUGUUCUCUAAAAAAGAAAAUCGAGAGGCUCGGGGGCAAGAAAAGUUUGGCACGCUGCCCUCGCAUAAAAUUUCUCUAGAUCAAACGAUCCGACGGCUGCUAUCAAAGAAGACGCGAGUCGAGGGAGUCCGAAGAGGCUGCUAAACGAGGCGGUUUCCCGGAGCUUUGGCAAGAUCAUUUUGAGUAAGGCCGCUUGCGGUCUUCCUCGAAGCACGAAGUCUGAUAUUUGGAUCAGGAUCCGUUAACGCUGUUAGGCAAAUGUAAGCAAGAACGCUCGCAGCAAACUCCGAGACGUUAAGUUACGUAGGUGUGCGCUCUUCUCGGUUAGACGAAGGCGAAGGAGGACGAGGAUCGAGUUUCGGUCUCGCUGCGGCUACCACGAGGGGGAUGCGCCAGGACGGGGCCUGCCGGGGGUGGCUCGGUAGGACCGCGCAUGCGCUUGCUCCUUGCUUGCACGUUUGAUUGCCAAAAAGAAGGCCGAGAAAAGAAGAGGAGGAGGAGGAGGAAGAAGAAGGAGAGGAAAGCUCGUGACAGGAGGUGGUUGAGAAAGGAGAUCGGGAUUUGUCACGAGCGAGGAUUCGGGAGUACGCCCGACGGCAGGAAGCUUCGUGACUCUCGGCUGGUUGCUUCGGCCCGAGGAGAACGAGAUCGACGCCACCCUUCCCGACUCCUCGUCCGAGUGCAUCUAGUAAUAAAAGGAGAGUUCGAAGUUGUCGAUGUGCUCGAGGAUGAGACGUAAAGUCUUCGGUCAGCUUCGUCGAAGGUUGCCGUGGUAGAGAAACCGAGAACGAGAAUCUCAACGAUUGUGACGAAAGCUGUGGUUAACGCGUCCAAGGUGUGAAGAGAAAAAGAGAGACGCGGCAUUGGCGUUCGGUCUCGUACCAGUAACGAAGGAAAAUGAGGAAGGAGGAGAGGGGAAAGAGCGAGACGGGGAAGAGGAGAAAAGAGCAAUGUACCUUUGCCACGCGUCUCUCGCCUUUCUGCGGCCAGACGCAAUAAAUAAAUAAAUGCCUAGCUAAACCCUUUUAACUCAGCACCGGUCCUCUCCCUCGACGCCUCCAUCUCUACA